GGACCCAGGUUCAGGGGACUACCGCUGAGUUUAAGCAUUCAAUAAGCGGAGAAAAGAAACUUCUAGGAUUCCUUAGUAACGGCGACGAACCGGAACAGCCCAGCUUGAAAAAUCGGGCGGCUUCGUCGUCCAAUUGUAGUCUGGAGAAGGUCCUCAGCGGCGGACCGGCCCAAGUCCCCUGGAGGGGGCGCCGGGAGAGGGUGAGAGCCCCGUCGUGCCGGACCUGUCGCACACGAGCGCUGUCUGCGAGUCGGGUGUUUGGAAUGCAGCCCAAUAGGGCGGUAUUCCGUCCAAGGCUAAAUAUGGCGUGAGACCGAUUAGCAAACAAGUACGCGAGGAAGAUGAAAAGGACUUUUGAAAGAGAGUCAAAGAGUGCUUGAAAUGUCGGGAGGGAAGCGCAAAUGGGGCGCGCGAUGCGUCCCGGUCGAUGUGGAACGGGUAGUCGGUCGGCGAUCGGCUCGGGACGGCGGUGCGGUUGGUACGGCGGCAAGCCCAGGCUGUUGAUAUGCCUGUGGAGAUGCCGUUGUGCCGAUCGUGGUUGCAGGCGCGCCGUACGGCGUGCUUCGGCAGCCUGCGUGCUCUGGCACGGCCUGCGGACCCAUUCGGCACCGUCUUGAAACACGGGACCAAGGAGUCUGACAUGUGUGCGAGUCAGAGGGUGAGUAAACCCGCAGCGCAAGGAAGCUGAUUGGCGGAUCCCUCGGGGUGCACGCCGACGACCUUGAUCUUCUGAGAAGGGUUCGAGUUGAGCAUGCCUGUCGGGACCGAAAGAAUGGUAACUAGUCACCUGAGCGGGCGAAGCCAGAGGAACUCUUGGAGGCCCGCAGCGAUACUGACGUGCAAAUCGUUCGUCUGACUUGGUAUAGGGGCGAAAGACUAUCGAACCGUCUAGUAGUGGUUCCCUCGAAGUUUCCCUAGGAUAGCUGGAGCCCGGAGGUGCGAGUUCUAUCGGGUUAAAGCGAUGAUUAGAGCAUCGGGGGCGCAACGCCCUCGACCUAUUCUCAAACUUAAUAGGUAGGACGGCGCGGCUGCUUUGUUGAUCCGCGCCACGGAAUCGAGAGCUCCAAGUGGGCCAUUUUUGGUAAGCAGAACUGGCGAUGCGGGAUGAACCGGAAGCCGGGUACGGUGCAAACUGGCGCUAACUAGAACCACAAAGGGUGUUGGUCCACGCGAGCUUCGAAAGGAAUGGG
rnacentral:ncRNA from 1 species